GAUGAACGCUGGCGGCGUGCUUAACACAUGCAAGUCGAACGAAGCACCUUGAUUUGAUUCUUCGGAUGAAGAUCUUGGUGACUGAGUGGCGGACGGGUGAGUAACGCGUGGGUAACCUGCCUCAUACAGGGGGAUAACAGUUAGAAAUGACUGCUAAUACCGCAUAAGACCACAGCACCGCAUGGUGCAGGGGUAAAAACUCCGGUGGUAUGAGAUGGACCCGCGUCUGAUUAGGUAGUUGGUGGGGUAACGGCCUACCAAGCCGACGAUCAGUAGCCGACCUGAGAGGGUGACCGGCCACAUUGGGACUGAGACACGGCCCAAACUCCUACGGGAGGCAGCAGUGGGGAAUAUUACACAAUGGGGGAAACCCUGAUGCAGCGACGCCGCGUGAGCGAUGAAGUAUUUCGGUAUGUAAAGCUCUAUCAGCAGGGAAGAAAAUGACGGUACCUGACUAAGAAGCACCGGCUAAAUACGUG
rnacentral:rRNA from 1 species